rnacentral:tRNA from 1 species
GGGGGUAUAACUCAGUGGUAGAGUGUGUGCCCCGCAUGCACGAGGUCCUGGGUUCAAUCCCCAGUACCGCCA